rnacentral:rRNA from 1 species
UACAGAGGUGGCAAGCGUUGUUCGGAAUUACUGGGCGUAAAGGGCGCGUAGGCGGCCUACUAAGUCAGACGUGAAAUCCCCCGGCUUAACCUGGGAACUGCGUCUGAUACUGGAAGGCUUGAGGAUGGGAGAGGGAUGUAGAAUUCCAGGUGUAGCGGUGAAAUGCGUAGAUAUCAUGAGGAAUACCAGAGGCGAAGGCGGCUACCUGGACAAUUGCUGACGCUCAGGCACGAAAGCGUGGGGAGCAAAAGGG